GACGUAGGUGGCGAGCGUUGUUCGGAAUCACUGGGCAUAAAGCGCACGUAGGCGGGUCGUUAAGUCAGGGGUGAAAUCCCGGAGCUCAACUCCGGAACUGCCUUUGAUACUGGCGACCUUGAGGCUGGAAGAGGUUAGUGGAAUUCCCAGUGUAGAGGUGAAAUUCGUAGAUAUUGGGAAGAACACCAGUGGCGAAGGCGGCUAACUGGUCCAGAUCUGACGCUGAGGUGCGAAAGCGUGGGGAGCAAACAGG
rnacentral:rRNA from 1 species